rnacentral:rRNA from 1 species
GGGUUGUGAGGUUAAGCGACUAAGCGUACACGGUGGAUGCCCUGGCAGUCAGAGGCGAUGAAGGACGUGCUAAUCUGCGAAAAGCGUCGGUAAGGUGAUAUGAACCGUUAUAGCCGGCGAUGUCCGAAUGGGGAAACCCAGUGUGAUUCGUCACACUAUCGUUAACUGAAUACAUAGGUUAACGAGGCGAACCGGGGGAACUGAAACAUCUAAGUACCCCGAGGAAAAGAAAUCAACCGAGAUUCCCCCAGUAGCGGCGAGCGAACGGGGAGCAGCCCAGAGUCUGAAUCAGCUUGUGUGUUAGUGGAACGGUCUGGAAAGUCCGACGGUACAGGGUGAUAGUCCCGUACACCAAAAUGCACAGGUUGUGAACUCGAAGAGUAGGGCGGGACACGUGGUAUCCUGUCUGAAUAUGGGGGGACCAUCCUCCAAGGCUAAAUACUCCUGACUGACCGAUAGUGAACCAGUACCGUGAGGGAAAGGCGAAAAGAACCCCGGCGAGGGGAGUGAAAAAGAACCUGAAACCGUGUACGUACAAGCAGUGGGAGCACCUUCGGGUGUGACUGCGUACCUUUUGUAUAAUGGGUCAGCGACUUAUAUUCUGUAGCAAGGUUAACCGUAUAGGGGAGCCGCAGGGAAACCGAGUCUUAACUGGGCGUUAAGUUGCAGGGUAUAGACCCGAAACCCGGUGAUCUAGCCAUGGGCAGGUUGAAGGUUGGGUAACACUAACUGGAGGACCGAACCGACUAAUGUUGAAAAAUUAGCGGAUGACUUGUGGCUGGGGGUGAAAGGCCAAUCAAACCGGGAGAUAGCUGGUUCUCCCCGAAAGCUAUUUAGGUAGCGCCUCGUGAACUCAUCUUCGGGGGUAGAGCACUGUUUCGGCUAGGGGGUCAUCCCGACUUACCAACCCGAUGCAAACUACGAAUACCGAAGAAUGUUAUCACGGGAGACACACGGCGGGUGCUAACGUCCGUCGUGAAGAGGGAAACAACCCAGACCGCCAGCUAAGGUCCCAAAGUCACAGUUAAGUGGGAAACGAUGUGGGAAGGCACAGACAGCCAGGAUGUUGGCUUAGAAGCAGCCAUCAUUUAAAGAAAGCGUAAUAGCUCACUGGUCGAGUCGGCCUGCGCGGAAGAUGUAACGGGGCUAAACUGUGCACCGAAGCUGCGGCAGCGACACUAUGUGUUGUUGGGUAGGGGAGCGUUCUGUAAGCCUGCGAAGGUGGCCUGUGAGGGUUGCUGGAGGUAUCAGAAGUGCGAAUGCUGACAUAAGUAACGAUAAUGCGGGUGAAAAGCCCGCACGCCGGAAGACCAAGGGUUCCUGUCCAACGUUAAUCGGGGCAGGGUGAGUCGACCCCUAAGGCGAGGCCGAAAGGCGUAGUCGAUGGGAAACAGGUUAAUAUUCCUGUACUUGGUGUUACUGCGAAGGGGGGACGGAGAAGGCUAUGUUAGCCGGGCGACGGUUGUCCCGGUUUAAGCAUGUAGGCGGAGGUUCCAGGUAAAUCCGGUACCUUUUAACGCUGAGGUGUGAUGACGAGGCACUACGGUGCUGAAGUAACAAAUGCCCUGCUUCCAGGAAAAGCCUCUAAGCAUCAGGUAACAUCAAAUCGUACCCCAAACCGACACAGGUGGUCAGGUAGAGAAUACCAAGGCGCUUGAGAGAACUCGGGUGAAGGAACUAGGCAAAAUGGUGCCGUAACUUCGGGAGAAGGCACGCUGAUAUGUAGGUGAAGCCCCUGCGGGUGGAGCUGAAAUCAGUCGAAGAUACCAGCUGGCUGCAACUGUUUAUUAAAAACACAGCACUGUGCAAACACGAAAGUGGACGUAUACGGUGUGACGCCUGCCCGGUGCCGGAAGGUUAAUUGAUGGGGUUAUCCGUAAGGAGAAGCUCUUGAUCGAAGCCCCGGUAAACGGCGGCCGUAACUAUAACGGUCCUAAGGUAGCGAAAUUCCUUGUCGGGUAAGUUCCGACCUGCACGAAUGGCGUAAUGAUGGCCAGGCUGUCUCCACCCGAGACUCAGUGAAAUUGAACUCGCUGUGAAGAUGCAGUGUACCCGCGGCAAGACGGAAAGACCCCGUGAACCUUUACUAUAGCUUGACACUGAACAUUGAGCCUUGAUGUGUAGGAUAGGUGGGAGGCUUUGAAGCGUGGACGCCAGUCUGCGUGGAGCCAACCUUGAAAUACCACCCUUUAAUGUUUGAUGUUCUAACGUUGGCCCCUAAUCGGGGUUGCGGACAGUGUCUGGUGGGUAGUUUGACUGGGGCGGUCUCCUCCCAAAGAGUAACGGAGGAGCACGAAGGUUAGCUAAUCCUGGUCGGACAUCAGGAGGUUAGUGCAAUGGCAUAAGCUAGCUUGACUGCGAGCGUGACGGCGCGAGCAGGUGCGAAAGCAGGUCAUAGUGAUCCGGUGGUUCUGAAUGGAAGGGCCAUCGCUCAACGGAUAAAAGGUACUCCGGGGAUAACAGGCUGAUACCGCCCAAGAGUUCAUAUCGACGGCGGUGUUUGGCACCUCGAUGUCGGCUCAUCACAUCCUGGGGCUGAAGUAGGUCCCAAGGGUAUGGCUGUUCGCCAUUUAAAGUGGUACGCGAGCUGGGUUUAGAACGUCGUGAGACAGUUCGGUCCCUAUCUGCCGUGGGCGCUGGAGAAUUGAGGGGGGCUGCUCCUAGUACGAGAGGACCGGAGUGGACGCAUCACUGGUGUUCGGGUUGUCAUGCCAAUGGCAUUGCCCGGUAGCUAAAUGCGGAAGAGAUAAGUGCUGAAAGCAUCUAAGCACGAAACUUGCCCCGAGAUGAGUUCUCCCUGAGACUUUAAGUCUCCUGAAGGAACGUUAAAGACGAUGACGUUGAUAGGUCGGGUGUGUAAGCGUAGCGAUACGUUGAGCUAACCGAUACUAAUGAACCGUGAGGCUUAACCUUACAACGCCGAAG